UUUAAUAUGACUGACAGAUGUUAUGCUUUUGUGGUAGUUAUGGAUGAGCCACUUUAUUUUCUCAGAUGGUAAAACUGUCCAUUCUUCUUGUCAAAACCCCUUCAGUUCCUUUUAGAUUUUGGGUUUCUUUGCAUGAACUGCAUGUUUGAGACCCUACCCCCCCAAAGUGGCUCCAUGAUAUUGAGGUCAGC